rnacentral:misc_RNA from 2 species
CAACCUUCAAGCCUGGCUUGGUGUUGGGCGCUGUCCCGCCCCCGCGCGCGGACUCGCCUCGAAUGAAUUGGCAGUCGCACCCUCCGAGCCGCGAGCGCAGCACAAGUCGCGCCCGCCGGCCCCGCUGGGACGGACGCUCCACAAGACCCCCCAACG